rfam:Otolemur garnettii contig057534, whole genome shotgun sequence.
GGGAAGGGAGGUGGUGCGUGAUUGGGUUGAGACCUAAGGCGGUAGGGACAGGUCAG